GAUGAAGAACGCAGCGAAAUGCGAUAAGUAGUGUGAAUUGCAGAAUUCAGUGAAUCAUCGAAUCUUUGAACGCACAUUGCGCCCCUUGGUAUUCCAUGGGGCAUGCCUGUUCGAGCGUCAUUUGUACCCUCAAGCUUUGCUUGGUGUUGGGCGUCUUGUCUCGCGUUGCGCGUAGACUCGCCUUAAAGCGAUUGGCAGCCGGCCUACUGGUUUCGGAGCGCAGCACAAGUCGCACUCUCUAUCAGCAAAGGUCUAGCAUCCAUUAAGCCUUUUUUUCAACUUUUGACCUCGGAUCAGGUAGGGAUAACCGCUGAACUUAAGCAUAUCAAUAAGCGGAGGA
rnacentral:misc_RNA from 1 species